rnacentral:rRNA from 1 species
UUACAUCUCUUCGGAGCUAUUUUACGGAGGUGCUGCAUGGUUGUCGUCAGCUCGUGCCGUGAGGUGUCGGGUUAACGUCCCAUAACGAGCGCAACCCCUACCUUUAGUUGCCAUCAGGUAAUGCGUGGGGACUACUAAAGGAACUGCCUACGCAAGUAGUGAGGAAGGCGGGGAUGACGUCAAAUCAGCACGGCCCUUACGUCCAGGGCUACACACGUGCUACAAUGGCCGAUACAGAGGGCAGCUACCUGGUGACAGGAUGACAAAUCUCCAAAGUCGGUCUCAGUUCGGAUCGGAGUCCGCAACCCGACUCCGUGAAGUUGGAUUCGCUAGUAAUCGCGCAUCAGCCAUGGCGCGGUGAAUACGUUCCCGGGCCUU